rnacentral:rRNA from 1 species
AAUUAUACAGCGAAACUGCGAAUGGCUCAUUAAAUCAGUUAUCGUUUAUUUGAUAGUACCUUACUACUUGGAUAACCGUGGUAAUUCUAGAGCUAAUACAUGCUAAAAACCCCGACUCACGAAGGGGUGUAUUUAUUAGAUUAAAAACCAAUGCCCUUCGGGGCUCUUUGGUGAUUCAUAAUAACUUUUCGAAUCGCAUGGCCUUGCGCCGGCGAUGGUUCAUUCAAAUUUCUGCCCUAUCAACUUUCGAUGGCAGGGUCUUGGCCUGCCAUGGUUACAACGGGUAACGGAGGGUUAGGGCUCGACCCCGGAGAAGGAGCCUGAGAAACGGCUACUACAUCCAAGGAAGGCAGCAGGCGCGCAAAUUACCCAAUCCCGAUUCGGGGAGGUAGUGACAAUAAAUACUGAUACAGGGCUCUUUUGGGUCUUGUAAUUGGAAUGAGUACAAUUUAAAUCCCUUAACGAGGAACAAUUGGAGGGCAAGUCUGGUGCCAGCAGCCGCGGUAAUUCCAGCUCCAAUAGCGUAUAUUAAAGUUGUUGCAGUUAAAAAGCUCGUAGUUGAACCUUGGGCCUGGCUGGCCGGUCCGCCUCACCGCGUGCACUGGUUCGGCCGGGCCUUUCCCUCUGGGGAACCUCAUGGUCUUCACUGAUCGUGAUGGGGAACCAGGACUUUUACUGUGAAAAAAUUAGAGUGUUCAAAGCAGGCCUAUGCUCGAAUACAUUAGCAUGGAAUAAUAAAAUAGGACGUGUGGUUCUAUUUUGUUGGUUUCUAGGACCGCCGUAAUGAUUAAUAGGGACAGUCGGGGGCAUCAGUAUUCAAUUGUCAGAGGUGAAAUUCUUGGAUUUAUUGAAGACUAACUACUGCGAAAGCAUUUGCCAAGGAUGUUUUCAUUAAUCAGGAACGAAAGUUAGGGGAUCGAAGACGAUCAGAUACCGUCGUAGUCUUAACCAUAAACUAUGCCGACUAGGGAUCGGACGGUGUUACUUAUUGACCCGUUCGGCACCUUACGAGAAAUCAAAGUCUUU